rnacentral:rRNA from 1 species
GUAAGGAAUAUUGGACAAUGGACGCAAGUCUGAUCCAGCCAUGCCGCGUGAAGGAUUAAGGUCCUCUGGAUUGUAAACUUCUUUUAUAAGGGACGAAAAAAGGCUUUUCUAAGUCGUCUGACGGUACCUUAUGAAUAAGCACCGGCUAACUCCGUGCCAGCAGCCGCGGUAAUACGGAGGGUGCAAGCGUUAUCCGGAUUCACUGGGUUUAAAGGGUGCGUAGGCGGGCAGGUAAGUCAGUGGUGAAAUCCUAGAGCUUAACUAUAGAACUGCCAUUGAUACUAUCUGUCUUGAAUAUUGUGGAGGUAAACGGAAUAUGUCAUGUAGCGGUGAAAUGCUUAGAUAUGACAUAGAACACCUAUUGCGAAGGCAGCUUACUACGCAUAUAUUGACGCUGAGGCACGAAAGCGUGGGGAUCAAACAGGAUUAGAUACCCCUGUAGUCC